rnacentral:rRNA from 1 species
AUUGCCCUAGUAACGGCGAGUGAAGCGGCAACAGCUCAAAUUUGAAAUCUGGCUUCGGCCCGAGUUGUAAUUUGCAGAGGAUGUUUCUGGCGCGGUGCCUUCCGAGUUCCCUGGAACGGGACGCCACAGAGGGUGAGAGCCCCGUAUGGUCGGACACCAAGCCUGUGUGAAACUCCUUCAACGAGUCGAGUAGUUUGGGAAUGCUGCUCUAAAUGGGAGGUAAAUCUCUUCUAAAGCUAAAUACCGGCCAGAGACCGAUAGCGCACAAGUAGAGUGAUCGAAAGAUGAAAAGCACCUUGAAAAGGGGGUUAAAUAGUACGUGAAAUUGUUGAAAGGGAAGCACUUAUGACCAGACUUGGGCCGGGCGGCUCAUCAGGGGUUCUCCCCUGUGCACUCCGCCCGGCACAGGCCAGCAUCGGUUUUCGCGGGGGGAUAAGACCGACGGGAACGUAGCACCCUCCGGGGUGUGUUAUAGCCCGGCGGACGAUACCCUCGCGGGGACCGAGGUCCGCGCUCCGCAAGGAUGCUGGCGUAAUGGUCAUCAGUGACCCGUCUUGAAACACGGACCAAGGAGUCGUCCAUUAGAGCGAGCGUUUGGGUGUAAAACCCGCACGCGUAAUGAAAGUGAACGCAGGUGAGAGCUUCGGCGCAUCAUCGACCGAUCCUGAUGUUCUCGGAAGGAUUUGAGUAAGAGUUUUAACGGACGGACCCGAAAGACAGUGAACUAUGCUUGUAUAGGGUGAAGCCAGAGGAAACUCUGGUGGAGGCUCGCAGCGGUUCUGACGUGCAAAUCGAUCGUCAAAUAUGAGCAUGGGGGCGAAAGACUAAUCGAACUGUCUAGUAGCUGGUUACCGCCGAAGUUUCCCUCAGGAUAGCAGUGUU